rnacentral:lncRNA from 1 species
CGGGACCCCGCGGCCGUGGCCGUGCGUCCCUCUUGGGUCGGGAUGCCGGGGCUGCGGCCGCGCGCCUUCGGCCGCAUCCCGCCCUCAGCAACGCGCCCCGCGCCUCACCCUUCGCACAGCUAAGUCACAGCCAGCCAGCGCUUAGCGCCUCCUCCAGCCUGUCUGGAAGGAAGAAAGGCCCAUCCCUUCCUGCCCCUCCAGGUAUGUACCAAUACCACUGCCAGCGUCCGGAGGAACCGCUGGGCCCUGAGGUGGGCACGGCUGCAGGCUGGCGUUUAGUAGGAAUUUAUACCUGCGAACCAAAGAGAAAUCUCCGUGCCCCUCUCCCCUUAUGAACUCAGACAUGGCCCCGCAGGGAGGUUUAAUGCGUGUGAAAUGCUGUUCAAAAAUCAAUUGCAAGUGGUUUGGGUUACAAAUUGGCACAGAACUGUUGCUUUGUAAAAUACUGUGAGGCUUACAGAUUUGUCAUCGUUAUCACCACCAUUUCCCAUGUUUCUCCACCAAUCUCACGUUACAGUCAUCGUCCUCUAAACUAGGAGAAAGGGGUGUCUAUAUAAGAAUCACAACAGCAACAAUUCAGCAAUGAAUGAUGCCUGUGAGGAGAUGAAGAGAAUGCCCCCUGAAACGAACAGAAUUUCUCCUUGUCUCACGUCCCUUAGUCUUGACCAGCUCAAGAGGAGGAGGCAUGCCGGUCUCUGUAUCUUCCCAAAGGAACAGUGAGAAGCCUUCCUGCUGCCACAGCGCUAGCUAAAAUGGGUGAGCAGCAGCUCCUGACGAAUACGACAGGCUUCAGAGUCCAUUGACUCCAUUUGCUCAUACUCCUCCUCCGCUGGCUCCACGUGCCCCGCCGCAGGGGCAGACCACACGUCCAGCCCGUGCUGCAGGGAGAUGUUGUGAAGCACGCAGCAGGCCAGAAUGAUGUGGCUGGAUUUCUCGGGGGAGUACUGCAGGGUGCCUUUGGACCCGUCCAGGCAGCGGAAUCGCGAUCGGAUGGUUCUGAAUGUCCUCUCAAUGACGUUGUGUGUGGCAGAGUGCGCCAUGUUGUAGCGGUAUUCCGCAGGUGUCUCAGGGAUGUGCAGGGGGGUCAUCAGCCAGGUGCGGAGAAAGAAGGAGCUGUCACCCAGCAGCCAGCCAUCCUUGUACAGCUCGUUUUCAAACUGGCUGGUAAGGGCUGCCUGCUGCAGCACGUUGCAGUCGGGCAUGCUGCC